rnacentral:rRNA from 1 species
UACGGAGGUGGCGAGCGUUACUCGGAUUUAUUGGGUGUAAAGGGCAGGUAGGUGGCCUCAUAAGUGAGGGGUGAAAUCCUCCGACUUAAUCGGAGAAUUGCCUUUCAAACUAUAAGGCUUGAGUAUGGAAGAAGAGAAUGGAAUUCCCGGUGUAAGGGUGAAAUCUGCAGAUAUCGGGAGGAACACCAGUUGCGAAAGCGAUUCUCUAGUCCAUGUCUGACACUGAACUGCGAAAGCUAGGGGAG